GGAUAGGGACUUGCAAUUAUUUCCCUUGAACGAGGAAUUCCCAGUAAGUGUGGGUCAUAAGCUCGCGUUGAUUACGUCCCUGCCCUU
rnacentral:rRNA from 1 species